UUUCUUACUGAAAAAUUAAUUGUAAGUACCUCCUGCUCCAUGAAUUCUUAAAUAGCCGCGGAAAUUUAACCGUGCUAAGGUAGCAUAAUCAUUAGCCUCUUAAUUAGAGGCCAGUAUGAAUGGAGAAACAUUUCAAUUUCUUUAUUAAUUAAUUUUCUUUAAAUUUAAACCAAGAAUAAAAAUGUUCUUAUAUUUAAAAAAGACGAUAAGACCCUUUUGAACUUUACUGAAGUUUAG
rnacentral:rRNA from 1 species